AACGAACGUUGGCGGCGUGGAUUAGGCAUGCAAGUCGAACGCGAAUCCCUGGGCAACUGGGGAGGAGAGUGGCGAAAGGGGCAGUAAGGCGUGGGUAACCUACCCUCCGGGCCGGGAUAGCUUCGGGAAACUGAAGGUAAUACCGGGCGACGCAGCGAGAUCGCAUGGUCUUGCUGCCAAAGGUCCGCCGCCGGGGGAGGGGCUCACGUGGUAUUAGCUAGACGGCGGGGUAACGGCCCACCGUGGCAAAGAUGCCUAGCAGGUGUGAGAGCACGACCUGCGCCACUGGCACUGAGACACUGGCCAGACACCUACGGGUGGCUGCAGGCGAGGAUCUUCGGCAAUGGGCGCAAGCCUGACCGAGCGACGCCGCGUGUGCGAUGAAGGCCUUCGGGUUGUAAAGCACUGUCGAGGGGGAGGAAGCCGCAAGGUUGACCUAUCCCUGGAGGAAGCACGGGCUAAGUUCGUG
rnacentral:rRNA from 1 species